UUUCCGUAGGUGAACCUGCGGAAGGAUCGUUACUGAGUGAGGGCCCUCUGGGUCCAACCUCCCACCCGUGUUUAUUGUACCUUGUUGCUUCGGUGAGCCCGCCUCACGGCCGCCGGGGGGCAUCUGCCCCCGGGCCCGCGCUCGCCGAAGACACCAUUGAACUCUGUCUGAAGUUUGCAGUCUGAGCGAAAACUAAAUAAGUUAAAACUUUCAACAACGGAUCUCUUGGUUCCG
rnacentral:misc_RNA from 1 species